rnacentral:rRNA from 1 species
AGUGAACGCUGGCGGUAGGCCUAACACAUGCAAGUCGAACGGCAGCACAGGAGAGCUUGCUCUCUAGGUGGCGAGUGGCGGACGGGUGAGGAAUACAUCGGAAUCUGCCCAGUCGUGGGGGUAACGGAGGGAAACUUAAGCUAAUAACGCAUUAGACCUUCGGGUGAAAGGAGGGGAUCGCAAAGCCCUUCGCCAUUUGGUUAGGCGAUGUCGGAUUAGCUAGUUAGCGGGGUAAUGGCCCACCAAGGCGACGAUCCGUAGCUGGUCUGAGAGGAUGAUCAGCCACACUGGAACUGAGACACGGUCCAGACUCCUACGGGAGGCAGCAGUGGGGAAUAUUGGACAAUGGGCGCAAGCCUGAUCCAGCCAUACCGCGUGGGUGAAGAAGGCCUUCGGGUUGUAAAGCCCUUUUGUUGGGAAAGAAAUCUUUCAGGCUAAUACCCUGGGAGGAUGACGGUACCCAAAGAAUAAGCACCGGCUAACUUCGUG